GACGAACCGUGCGAACGUUAUUCGGAAUCACUGGGCUUAAAGGGCGCGUAGGCGGACGGUCAAGUCGGGGGUGAAAUCUUUCAGCUUAACUGGAAAAGUGCCUCCGAUACUGAUCGUCUCGAGGGAGGUAGGGGCAUGUGGAACUUCCGGUGUAGCGGUGAAAUGCGUAGAUAUCGGAAGGAACACCAGUGGCGAAAGCGGCUUCCUGGUCCGACACCGACGUCAGGCACGAAAGCGUGGGGAGCAAACAGG
rnacentral:rRNA from 1 species